rnacentral:misc_RNA from 1 species
GCAAAAUUAGAAGGCAAAUUAUAUGUUUGUUUGAUUCAAAAGCUGAGCAAAUUACCAUGGUCUGCAGAGAGGAGAUAAACAUAGAAUGGUACAUUCCAUAAUGAAGAUAUAUCCAUCUAGCANNNNNNNNNGCUGCUCACCAAAGUUAAGAACUCAGACACUCGAGGAAACAAAACCAACAAAACAUGAAUUAAUUGCCUUCUAAUUUUGCCAAGACUCAGAUCAAAAUUCUUGAACAAAAAUUUUAGAUAUCUGACUCUUAAAUUUAACAAAACCAAUCAAACAAGGCUACGUACCAAAGCUCAGAUAGCUAGGACUCUCCAGACUUGAUUGAAUCCAGACUCAACUUAACUUGUUCAUGAGCCAACUCCAUCCUCUGCACAAACAACUCCAAUUCAGCUUGUUUCAACCUCUUCCACUUGUCCUCCAACUCCUUCAACUUCCCUUUCUCAAUCAUCCCCAUCUGCUGCCUCAG